rnacentral:tRNA from 1 species
AUAAAGUUAGUUUAAGUGUUAAAAUAAUAAAUUGUGGGUUUAUAGAUAAAUUUAUUUACUUUAUU